GUACAGCUCUAAACAAGACGGUAAUAAAAUGGAUUUACAAUGUCGAUGUUGAAAAUAUAGACACCCUUUUGUUCAUGAACUGUGUGAAGUGAGGAUAAAUUGUAGUUUCGUGUAUAAGCUUAUAACAGUGGAGAUAGCCUCGAAGAUGAUUAUUUUGACAAAACUAUAAAAAUGAAAGUGUAGAAGGAAGUUCAACUUACCCGGGUGACAUAUGACUCGUUUUGCGUGUGUAAGGCGGACAUAUAAAUAUGACUUUGUACUAAUCGGAGAUUGCCACAGUCACAUGAUCACAGCAAACAUGAUCGAAGUUACCGGGUAUUAUUAUACAUCUUACACUAAACUUCUUUUAUUUUAAAACAAUUGCCAUAUCGUUUUAUUUCUUGCAGAAGCCUUCUUCUAUGCCUUACUUGAACAAUUUUACAUUUUUACAACAUUGG
rnacentral:lncRNA from 1 species